GACAAGUAGAAUAUUAUGUUUAAUUAUGAUCUUUUCGAUGUAUGAAACGCGCUAUGUCGAAAAAUUUCGUAAUUUCUUUUUUUUUUUCUUUAUAUAUUAUUAGAGUAUAUUUUUUUUCCCCCUUUCCUUUUCUUUUUUCCUUUUCCUUCCUUGAAAGAUAUUUUCCAUCUCGUCGAAAAUAAAAGGCUAAUACGGUAUGUUCGUGCUUUGGAUUCGUGGGGUUCCUACCAUACUGUUUUAUUCCGUAUUCAUAUUUCCUCGUUUAUUUUUUGGCCGUGUAGAUACUACUAGCAUCGUCGACACUCAGGGAAUCUUGUUAUAUCUUAUUUAUCAGCGUACGUUUCGAGCAUACGUAAUAUCUGCAUCUCUCGUAGCUAUACUUUAGCGAAUGAGUGGUACACGGUACGUACGUACGUAUGUAUGUACAUACAUACGUUGUUACUAAAGCAAAACAGACGUGACAUUUGCUUUAUAAUUCUUUUUUUUUUCCUCUUUUUACUUUGUCUUUUUUUUUUUUUUUUUUUUAUACUCGUCGGACACGUAUGUGUACAUAUUGUCACACAACGUUUACGAGAUAUGGAACGUAUCUAUUAAACUUGAUAUAUAUCCGUAUGUGAAUAUAUAUAUAUAUAUAUAUCUUUGCAAUAGCAUUUUCAGGUUGUAUUAGAAAUCCCUCGAAAUAUCGAUCAAAUGAUUCUUUAACGUUGACAUCAAAAACGAAUUGUCCAAUCGUGAAUGAAAUUCUAUGCGAUUAUGGUAUCAUGUAAAUGUAAUACGUAUUCCUACAAACUCUUCGAUAUAAUAUCGAACGUAAUACUUUAAUGUCGCUGUUAACGUGAAUUUGUAUUGAAAGUUACACGGAUAUUUCCCUCGGAUAAUUUUUCAUCCUGAAUUUAUAUUAUCAUUGUGUAAGUUUUACAAGUAUAUAUACAAAUUCCCCUUUUUUCUUUUUCUUUUUUAUGUCCGAAAUAUAAAUCACUUUCAUAGAGUUCCCUUUAUAAAAUACAUAAUUUUCUUAAAGAGGAGGAACGAAGUAGAGGAGGUAAAAAAGAAAAAGAAAAGAAUUAAUUAAUGUACUUUAAUUAUCGUUCCUCUUAUGCACCUGUGCUCGAUAUUAUUAAAGACUAUAACGUAAAUACAUACCUUACUUUAGCUUUAAUAAUGUCCCAGAAGCACUAGUCGACCAUUUGUCCCGUUAAGAAUAUUUUCAUGAUGCGAGAUACUAACUAACUCUUAACCGAAAUGACAAAUAAAUUUUCUAUAUAACUCUCUCUCACCCUCUCACCCUCUCUCUCUCUCACUCUCUGUUUUUCUCUAGCCCAGUUUCUAUAGGCCAACGUUAUAGCGUUCCAUAAUUAAUAUCAAUCGGCGAAGAGGACUAUACUUAGUUGGAACUAUGCGACGAGUUACAUCGUCUAUUUAUCAUUUAAUAAACCAACACGCUUAAACUGCCUUCAAUGUUGAAUCGCUUCCUUAGACGAAAGUGUAAUGUGUUUUACAACAUUUUUUUCUAUUUAUUUAUAUGUACUUACAUAUACAUAUAUUCGUAUAUGUAUUUGUACAUACGUAUAAUAUAUAUAUAUAUAUAUUUUUUUUUCUUGUUUUUAAUAAUAUAAUAUAUUUUUAAAAAUAUAUAUAUAUAUGUGUACUUUUUUUUUCAUUUUCUUUUUUUUUCUUUCCUUUAAAAAAGAAGAUGGAUCUUGUAAGAUGUAUUUGAGAAGAUUGCAAUGAAUGAACAUAUAAUCCUAUGAAGUCUCUUCUAUUCUCGCAACAUCGUGCUAAGAACAACGUAAUCUAUUAAAUAUAUUUGAAAUUUGUAUGAAACGCGCAAGAGAUAACCGUACGUGGAAAGAAACGAGAGAGAAAUAUAACGUGAUGUACGUUCUCUUGAAGAAAUAAAAUAAUUGAAACCUAUUUGUUCAACUUUGUAAAAACAAUUUAAUUCACUUUCGUGCUCUUUCUUUCCUCGUUUUAUGUACAUAAGUCGGAACGAUAGCGAAUCAUAAUCGUUUUCGUGAUCGUCGUGACGAUUUGCGCGAACUAUCUUUCUCUCCUUUUAUCUCUCUCUCUCUCUCUCUCUCUCUCUCUCUCUCUCUCUCUCUCUCUUUCUCUUUCUCUCUCUAUUUUAUUUUUCAUGUUCACGUCAAAUUGGCACGACGAAGCGAAAUUAUGAAAGAAAUACACGUUGCCCGAAAGGAGAUACAACGUUUGUAUAUAUAUAUAUAAAUAAAAGUAUAUUUAUGUAUGUAUGUAUGUGUGUGUGUAUGUCUCGUGUACAUAUAUACCUAUAUAUAUAUAUAUAUAUAUAUAUAUAUAUAUAUAUAUAUAUAUAUUUAUACACGAUAUACAUAUAUACAACAUAAUUAAUUAUCAUCACGUAGAGAGAUCUCAGAUGAGAAUAUGUGUGUGCCUUUUAAAUGAGAAAAUACGUAAUAGAUAAUACGUAUAUAAAUUUAAGUGAGAAAAUAAAUAAACAUAUAUGCGUGUGUGUAUGUAUGCAUCAUUACGAGUGACCAACGUAUGCAAGUAAGUAUGUAUGUAUGUAUGUAUGUAUGUACGUACGUACGAGCGUGUUUGUUGCAUCUUUGGACAUGUAUGCGUGUACGUGCGUAUGUGUAUAUGUAUGUAUGAAUGCAUUUACUAGACGCGUAACACAAUUUUGCUUUUACUCUCGCAUCGAGUUGUCUGGUCGGUGAAUAUGGCGAGGAUAACCGGUGCGUUUCUUUCUCUGUCUCUAUUUGUUCUCUAUUCUAUUUCUUUCUUUCUUUCUUUCUUUCUUUCUUCUUCUUCUACUUCUUCUCCUUUUUUUUUUCAUUCUCUUUUUUGUGUCUGUAUUUUUCCCCCCUCCCCCAACAUCUCUCCUUUCCCUUGCUUUUCUCUCUUUUUAACGUUUUUGCCCUUACCAUCCCCUUUUCCUUUUUUUCUUUAGUACCAGCGGUAAUUGCCUGGCUUCGUGUCGUUCAAACUGCGAAAGAAGUUUUAAACCGAAUAGAGCUUGUUCCUCAUAUUUUGCUUCGCUGUUCUUUGCUCUUUUUCUUAUUCUUCUUCAUUAUUAUCAUGAUCAUAAUCAUCAUCAUCAUCAUCAUCAUCAUCAUUAUUAUUAUCAUCUUUUUCUUCGUCUAUUUUAUAUCUUUCUCUUGUUCCUUCUCUUACAUAUCUUUUCCCUUUUGUUAUGAAUUUUAUUUAAUAGUCAGUAUAUUGUUAAUUGCAAUUAAUUAUUUCGAGAUUUGUUAAAGAACAUUGACGCUAAUACCUAAUCUUUCGUUCUCGAUCGAUCGGCAAAAUGUUAUAUAAGAUAAAAUAAAUAAUCUGAUAAAAUGUUUUGGAGUACGAGAUGAUCUUGCUGAGGAAUUUGUUCUUCUUUUUUUUUUUUUUUCUUUUAUAUCUGAUAUAAUGAUACAAUGGCGAGAAAGUACGAAUCAUUUAUUAGGACGAAAAGAAAACGUAUUUAUAAUAUAUCGAACAUAUAUGAUAUAUUUAAAUAUCGAAUAGGAACGACACGUUCGAUUUUCGCCGACAUUAAUUUUUAUUUUAUCUCUUGUAUGUAUAAUGUUGCCGACUCUUUUUUUUUUUUUCUUACCUUUUUUCUAGACAAUAAUCAAUCACCGUACUGUUUUUAUCCUUUAGUACGGAUCUGUCUUUUCUCAAGACAGAGACAAAAAAAGAGACAAAAAGAAAAAAAAAAAAUGAGAAAAUAAAACGAACCAAUUCUUAGAUUACCAUGGAAGAAUACUCGUAAAUUUUGAAGGAACAUCGAUUCGUCUCGAAAAAAAUUCAUAUAUCCUAGCUCUCGUCUUGGUAUCAUCGUUCCAAAGACGAUUUUAUUUACGAUACACGAAUCGACGUUCGUAAAGAAGAAAAAGCAAUUUUCCUUAAGCGAAUCACUUUAAAACCGUCUACUCUCUCUUUCUCUCUCUCUCUCUCUCUCUCUCACUCCGGCUCUCCUUCUCUCUUUCUAUCGUUGAACAAAGUAGAUCACGAAAAAGCAAAGUAACGUUGAUAAGCGUGGAAACAAGAAGGAACGCCUUACUUGAAAAUAGCUUUUCCUUCGACGGAAUUUCUCUAUCCGUCCUCCUUCUACUUCUCUACCUUCUCUUCUUCUUUUUCUUUUUUUUCUUCUUCUUCUUCUUUGUCUUCCUUUUUUUUUUUCUUUCUUCCUUCUUUUCCUUUCGAAAGGCAAAAGACGUUUUACGAGCGAGCUACGUCUCUUCCCUUUCUGAGAGAUUCUUAUUAUUCAAACUUCUCCAAAGUUUCGUCGACGCAAUUCAGGGAGGAGAAACAGGAGGAGGAUAAGGAGGAGACGAAGGAAGAAGAAGAUGAAGGAGGUAGAGGAGAAAGGGGGAGGAUAUGGAGAGUAGGAGAAAGGUUCUGUAAAGACCGAACAAAAUUAUUUGCAUCGGGAAAGAAUUUGGCUGUUUGUGCGAAAAUCCUUUCUACUAGUCAGGGAUUUUCGACUGUACUGCAAGAGAAUCGAAAAGAGAGGAGAAGAAAAAAAAAAAGCUCAGGGGAGCAAUGAAAGAAAAGAAAAGAGGGAAAGGUCCGAGAGAGAUAUACGAGUCUAACGAAGAAAGAAAGAAAGAAAGAAGUAGAGAGAGAAAGAGAGGGAGAGAGAGAGAAGAAGAUGAAAGUAGAAAAGAGGUCGAAACGUAUUUCAACGUCGUCUCAAGAAUACGUCGACUUUCGUCACCUUUUCUUUCUUUUAUUUCUUUUCUUUCUUUUAUAUAAUAGGUUACAUACGUCGACCGAGCCAAAUAAUUCACUUUAACGUACGAUUGAUGUUCCAAUAAAAUUCCAUAAAGAGAGAGAAAGAGUAAAGGACGAUUAUGUAGAAAAUCUAAGCUCUGCAACGAUGAGACAGCGUGAAGAAAUAUGUCAUUAAAUCGGAGAUGUCAAGACAUUACGAUGAUUUUAUUUUUAUAGAGCAACGAAUAAUAACUACGUCAGGUAUAAUAUCGUCCGAAAGUAAACGCUACUUAUGUAUUAUGUAUAUAUACAUAUAUACGUCUUGUAUAAUUACAAUUUCAAACACCAUUUAUAUAGGUAAGAAACUUUUUAAGCCCUUACAAAAGGCAAGAUGUUUAACAAGAGACAACCAAGGAAUAUCCAUGUACGAAUAUGUUGCCUAAUACAGGAGGCUUAUAAAGUUUCUUAUUGUUAGACAUUAUUUGCAAGCAUAAUUGUUGCCAAAGUAAGAACCGUCUUCUCAUAUCAUCUCCAUUCGCUCGAUGACGUAAGAUAAACUUUCAAAGAUUUUUACUAAUUCGUCACUUUUCAUUAAUUAGUUUCGUAAACGGUUUUUUAUAUUCCUCGCGUUUUACAUUAUCAUGUAUUUUCCGCGAGUAAAGACGUUUGACGAUGUUAUUAUAAUUAAAAAAAAAAAAAAAAAAAAUAAAACAAGGAAAGGAAACAAAAGAAUGAAUUAAAUAAAAGUUUAAUAAAAAGAGAGUAAAGUGUAUAAAAGGUUAUUGUUCUCCGCGCUGUCUCUCGAAUAUGCAAUGCGAUAUAAAAAACGCGAAACGUUGGCCGCAUUUUUCCUUUGCCAGUUAUAUUUCAAUAGAUUCGGUCGACGUUUAAGAACCCUCAAGGCUCCUUUUCUUUCAUUCAUUUUCACGAAUUUACACCUCUACCAGCAUCGUCACCACCCAUCAUCAUCAACACCACCGACUCUGCACAUUUCUAACCCUUUACUUCCGUCAAUAUGACUCUCCUCUUGACGCUAUUAACACUUCCGAUAGCGGCAUUUAAACCACCACACCGAAUUCUCUUUCAAUACUGAAUAUAUCCUUUAAAUCUAUCUAUCUAUCUAUUUCAUUACAUCGGAUCAUUGAUAUCGUACAGAAUCCAAUUUAUUUCAAUUCACGAAUAAUUAGAAAAGUAUCGUAUCAAUUGUGUGUCAAGAAAAAACAAAAAAAAAAAAAAAGAAAGAAAAGAGAAAACAAAAAAAGAAAAAAGAACAGUCCACUAAUAAAUCUUCCGUUUGAUGUUACGUUCCAAAGUGAUAAAAGAAAAAAAAAAAAAAAAAAAGAAACCCCCAUCCCCAGGACAUUCUCAAUAGAUUGUCCUAGGACACUUGUCUCGUUCAAAGUACCCUAUCCACCUUGCAAGUUGGAAACUAAACGUAGUCUUUAAAUCCCCUGACUGUCAAGAACCUGGAUCAACCCUUUAAGGUAUCUAGGAUCAACGAAUGUACGGAUGAACGAACACGUGUCGUUCCUUUCAAGGAUGUUCAGAUACACGACGCGUUGAGAACGGCCUGUCGAGCUCGAUCGUUUUCUUUCUCGCCAAUUCUUUUUCGCGCCUUCGUAAAAAUUGAAACGGCUGCUGGAAAUGUAAGCGGAUCGAGAAAGAAGAUUUACCUCGCUUUAUUUAACGAGUUAAAUGACGAGUAUAACGAAAAAAAGAAAAGUAAAAAAAAAAAAGAAAAAAAAGGAAAAAAAAAGAAGAAAGUAGAAAUUUUAUCCUCGACGAGAACGAAAGACGAUAAGAAAAAUCUAGAAUGAUAAUUCAUUUCGAUCUGUGUUCUUUGUUAUAACUCGUAAAUCGAAAUAAACCUUGGGUUUUAAUAAUAUCCUUAUCAUUUUUUAUGUCUCUCUCUCUCUUUCUCUCUCUUUCUCUCUCUCUCUCUCUCUCUCUCUCUCUCUCUCUCUCUCUCUCUGAUUAUCUCUUUUAUAAAAAAAAAAAUACUCUUGUGUCUUUCCGUUUCCAAGAUCUUUUAAUAUUUAAUACCAACAACGAAAAGAUAAAAGUACUUUAUCUAGAAAUAUUUUUUUUUCUUUUUCUAUUAUUUGAUUUUUUUGUUUAUUUCCAUUUCUUUUUUUUUAUUUUUUCUUUUUUCCCCUCAGUUAAUUUCUCACAUCGUGAUAGAACGAAUCCAGACCUUUUUAAUCCAAACUUCAUUGAUUUGCUACUGCUUUUAAGUUCUUACCAUUCUUAUUAAUUUUUCUCUCUAUCUUUCUCUUAUCUCUAAAUCCAUUUCUAUUAACGCGCGCACAUACACGUAAUUAUAAAAAUUCUAAUCUCAAUAUAGUAUAUAUGUAUAUUAUACACAUUGGGAUAUAAAUACUUAGAUAUGUGUAUGUGUGUGGGUGUGUGUGCGCGCGCGCUCGCGUGUUGAGUUAACUCGGCUGUCGCUUCGCUACUGCUUCUUCGUCUUUUACGAAUUUGCGUAUAUUAUAUAUAUAUAUAUAUAUAUAUAUAUAUAUAUAUAUAUAUACAUUUAUAUCUUUAUAUAUUUUAUAUAUAUAUAUAUAUAUAUAUAUAUAUAUAUAUACAUAUAUAUUAAAUCUUUUUGCACAACACGACUGACAAAUAUACGCUACUCUUUCCUACGUUCGCUUCAUUUUUACAUAUAUAUAUAUAUAUACAUAUUUAUACUAUAUAUUGUAUAUUUCUGACAUAUUUUUAUACACGAAUACAUAACACCAAUACAUGCACAUACACGCGCACACUGAUGACUACGUAAAAAUUUUAAUAAACGCGAUAGAGAGAUACGAGGUUAAUUAGUGAUAGAAAUGAAUGAACUUUCAUCUCAUAGCUAACUUUAUAACGGAUAAAAGGUACAUUAUAUUAUUACGUUAGCUCGUUCUUUUAUUUCUCGAAAUUUCCUCGAAUUCAUAUUUUUCAAAGGAAAACCAUUCACGUUAACCAUUACGUUAUACAUAUAUUCUUUCCUUCCAACGAAAGAUAAACGGCUCUCCCAAGCGGCACCGAAAUCGGCCGAGUAUAUUUCUUUUUCCUCGUCCGGUUUUGAAAAAUGUAUCGCUUUCAAGCGUUUUUGUUCCCAUUUGACGAAUGUAUCCAAUUAUCUCGACGCAUCUCGAUCGAUUCAUACGAAGGAAAAAGGAAAAUUACGAUUUCAAUAAAGAAUUUUUAUGAUUUACGAUUUAUUAUUAACGACGUAUCCACGCCUUCGUAAUAUAUAUUUCUAAUUAAUUAUCGCAUUCUAUGGCAAACUAUCCGAUUAAUUUUUUAACUUUUAGAUUGGAUCUAUGGUUUUCUUAUAUGAUUGACACACAAAAAAAAAAAAAAAAAGGAAAAAGAAAAAAGGAAAGGAAGAACUUUGUCAUUUAUAUUUUCUCAAAUAUUUACUUCCUUCUUUUGUUCUCUCUCUCACUCUCCCUCCCCCCUUCCUCUCUCUCUCUCUCUCUCUCUCUCUCUCUCUCUCUCUCUCUCUCUCUCGAAGACGCGAAUACACCCGCGUUCGGUGGAAAGGUCCGUUCGUAACGCGGCAUUGUCGUUACAACGAUAAAUCUAGCGUUGGAAAAGGCAACGGUUGUGCAUCACCGCCUCCGUAACGUCGAGUUAAAAACCAUCCUCAUUAUUCGCGGGAAAACAAUGCGGGCAACAGGAAUGACGGUGGCGCUAGGCGAAUGCACCGAGCGUUUCUCUCCUGAGCGUGAAUCAUGCCCGACAGUGACAUUUUUUAGCGGCAUUCGGGGGAAAAAAAAAAAAAAAGAAGAAAAAGAAACAAGGAAAAAAUAAAAAAAAACUUUUUGGAUCCAUUGAUUUCACGUAAAGCGAGAGGUAAAACCAACGUGAAACUGAAACGAAUUUUCUUACGCACACAUACAUAAAUUUGUAUAUGUGUGUGUGCAUAUAUAUAUAUAUAUAUAUAUAUAUAUUUACGAUAGUAUUUCUUCUAGAAACUCGUGUAAACGAUGCCUGUCUUGUUGUCAAAAUUAAUUCAUUCAUCAAAUAUUUUUAGUUUAAACAAUUCGUCAAAAAAAAAAAAAAAAAAAAAAAAAAAAAAGGAAAAAGAAAAAAAACAAGAUACAAAAGAGAAAAAGAAAAAUAAAAGUUUCUUCAAAGCCGAUGAGAUUUCAAUAAAUAAUAUCCUAUGAUGAAAAAUACACAUAUAAGGAAAGAAGACAAUAUACAUAUAUAGGGAAAAUCUAGACGGUCUAAUAUCGAUGUGGUUUAUACAAUAUUCAUCGUUAUAUCGUGAAACCGCAGGCAAAUAAAGGAUUAAUCGAUCGGCGUUCUUCGUUCGAAUUUCGUAACGUGUAGGUAUAUCAAAAAGUCACGUUUCACGGAUAAUAACGUCGAUCUCGUGGCAGAGAUAGAACUUAUUUCAGUGUGUGUGUGUCUGUGUGUGUGUAUGCAUAACUGUAUAUUUAUAUACAUAUAUAUAUAUAUAUAUAUAUAUGUUCAUAAAUAUAUAUAUAUUUAUAUAGAUACAGACACACACACACACACACACACACAUAUAUAUAUAUAUCUCUACAUGGUAUUAUAUCGUAUCACCGCAAAAGUCACGCUUUACCGUAACAUGCUUCAAUCUCUUCGAGCGGUUAUUUAAAUAAUUAAAGGAUCGUUAUCGAGCGAGCACAUUCGUGCCUAAAGUUAUUUAUUUAUUAACGCCUUCGUAUCGUUCGACCAAAAGUUUGAUUCUGAACUUGCAAUAGGAUUUUCUUAACACGAGAGUAUGUAUAAUAUGGGAAAUGAGGACUAUAUUAUUUCACAUAUUAGUUUGGGAAAAACAACCUCUUUUCGUUAACUUUUAGUUCCUUUAUGUUUCCCUUAUGCUCUACUCUCUCUUUCUUUCUUUCUCUCUCUCUCUCUCUCUUUCUCUCUCUCGUACACGAUUUUCGUUUUUACUGGUUCGUUUCAAACUUUCCAACGAGACACAGAUUACGUACCGUGUUCGAAGAUAUCACAGAAAGAGAGAAUAGAAAGAGAGAGAGAGAGAGAGAGAGAGAGAGAGAGAAAGGGUAGCAUAAUUUCACGUUUGUAUCGCUAUGAAAAUUGCCGUAACAACACACGUUCUUGGGUCACACAAUCAACCCUUCUCAUUGUUCUUCUCAACUGCAUUUGAAAAUCUCGCUUUUGUCUGUCCUCUCUCCCUCUCUCUCUCUCUCUCUCUUCUUUCUCUCAUAAAUGAAUAUACACCACGAAUUAUUCACACGAAGAUUUCUGUAUUUGUGAAAACGCAAACCCCUCGAUGAGUGUCCCUUUGAUACAAUCGUUAUCGAUUCAUUCAUAUCCUAUAAUAUGUUAUAUUAAUCGAUUUUAUUCAUUUAUUUACUUUUUCUUUUUUUUUUUCUUUUUUUUUUCAACGAAAGAAAAAAUACAAAUUUCGCGAAAAAAUUUCGUAUCGUUGCGUGUCGAUUGUCACUCAAAAUAAUUAACAUCUAUACGAACAACUAUUAUCCAUUUAUUCUCGAUCCUGAUUAAAUUUGAAUGCUCGAUUUUGUGUUUCGAUAGAUCGACCAUUCCUCGAUUUUAUUUGUAUUGGUUUUUUUUUUUUUUCUUUUUCAUUAAACUUACGUAAGCAUCAAACACACAUAGGACGUAAACAUGUCGGAUAUUCACGGUAUCUCCUAAGUCGUGUAUACAUAGUUACACAUGUUAACGUUUAAAUACGACUACCGAUUUUCUUUCGCACACAUUAAGCCGAUUUAACAGUCGGAAGCUCCUCCAUAAUUACUGCUUUCGAGUUUACACGACAAGUACGACUACCACACAACUUCCUCCCGAACUAUUCCUCUUUUGUAAUUCGUUGACUUUCUACUUACGACCGAUGUUGGUCUACCCGAAUGACCGCACAAAUCGCAUUCUAGAAACUAUAGAUUAUCCUGAGAAAUUAUUUCCUUUCGCACUUAACGAGAGAAAUUUAUUUUGAUUAUUUUUUCCUUUCAUCCUCCUUUUUUUCUGUUUCUCGUUUUUAUUUUUGUUUUGUUUACUCAUUCAUUCGUUUUCUCUAAAAUGUAUACUCAUUUUCCUCUUUUUUUUUCUAUUUUCUCUCUCUCUCUCUCUCUCUUUCUCUCUCUCUCUCUCUCUCUCUCGUUCUCUUUCUCUGUUCUUCUUAAACUCUCCAAUUACCUAAUGUUUUUACGACUUCAACCUUCACAUAUUUAAUCUAAAGAUUUGUUCGGGCGCGAAGGAGUAUUACUCUCAUGUAUUUUUAACGAACUCUAAUAUAAACAGACGCCUGUACAUACAUUUUCUAGGAGUACUUCGCAUUAAACCAAAUACCAUGGGGGGGAAAAAAAAAAGAAAAAAAAUAAGAGGAGAAAAGAAAUGAUGAAAGGGACGUAUCGAUUAAAAUCUGACUGCUUUUAUUUCGUGACAUUUCGAUCGCCAUAUUACGUACGAUCGUCAUAUUCAAGUUCAAUAAUUAAGAAAAUUCGUUUCUCCCAUCGAAAAUUCCUUUUGUUGCCCGGCAUUUUCUUAUCGUUUCGAUCGAUAAGUGGGGUCGGGGGGGGGGGGGGGAGGAUGGGACAAGAGAAAGAAAGGAGGAUUACAAAAAGAAAUAUAAACGGGGUAGGGAGAGGGGUUUGUAAAGUGGUAGCUCGAAAGAGAACACGGAUUUUCGCUCACGAAUCAAAAAAAAAAAAGCGAAGCUAUGUGUUCAAGCGAGUGAGAGAGAAAGAAAGAGAGAUAGAGAGAGAGAGAGAGAGAGGGAGAGAGAGAGAGAGAGAGAGAGAAGAAAGAAGAUCCUUCGAGCGACGGGCUUUUAACUCGAUCGUAACCGUUACGAAAAAUUAUAGCCUUCGCGAAAGGCCUCCGGUUCGCUUUUGCUUUAUAGGGAAAGCCAGAUAAUACCCCUUUAAAAGGGAGAGAAUUAAAUUCUAUAAAACGCCCUCUCUAACAUUUUCUUCAUUCUUUUCUCUCUCUUUUUUUUUCUAUUAUAUCUAUAUUUAUAUAUAUAUAUAUAUAUAUAUUUUUUUUUUAUUACUAUUAUUUCCUUCAAAUAAUCCGAAUAAUCUGAGCUAUUGUCCGUCGUCGAAUAUCUUCGUACUUUUAUGAAAUAUCUCGAAAAAUUGUAACGCGUGCGAAAUAGAAUGUAUAUAAAUAACUAAAUAUAUAUAUAUAUAUAUAUAUAUAUAUAUAUAUAUAAAAGGAAAAGAAAAAAGAGGAUACUAAAAAAGAAGAAAAAUAAGAAGGAAAAAUAUAAAAAGAAAGAUAAGAGAAAAAAGCAAGAUACUAGUGUUGUCCACUCGACGACUCGGCGUAGUUCGUUUUCGUGGAUUAUCGCUAUCGUAAAACGACGAAAACGUCGUCGUCGUCGUCGUCGUCGUCGACGACUACGACUACGACUACGACUACGACUACGACGGCUACGACGACGAGAUACAUUCACUAAUACCUAUGUGUAUUACACAUCGAUACAAAUCUCGAUUCGAAAAUCACGUAACUAUAUGGAAAGAGAAAUACCCAACGUAGGACGCAUAGUAAAAAAGAAACGAUUUAAGCCGUGAUUUAUUCGACGUUGAAGCAUUUCACCGAUUCGAGAAAGAAAACACACACAUAUACACAUGUAAACACCAAAAUACGUAUUUAAAAUAGAGUAGGUAUAUACAUGCAUAAAUAUAUACAUACAUUAUAUAUACAUAUAUAUAAAUAGUUUUACUCUAUCUUUCUCUUUUUAUUUCUCGUAAAAAUAAUUCUGUGAUCGUAUAGAUUUGACGAGCGUUUAAUCUUCCUCGAUUUGUUUUUUCGCUCCACUUGCAUGAGCAUAAUCAUUUUGAUCGUUGCUAUCUCUCGUUAGAUAUUACUAAUUGCUGUUUAAUUAUUACCUAUGAAAAUACGGAGAAAUUAUUUUUUAAUUGUUUCUUUUUUCUUUUAGUAUCUUUUUCUUCUUCCUUUUUUUUUUUUUUAUUCUUUUUCUUGUUUAUCAUCGUAUAAAUAUAAACUAAUAUAUGAUCGUUAUGGUGAUCGUAAAUAAAUCGAUAUCGAUAAACCGAUCGAUUGAUCUAUCUCGACAAAGCUUCUACUUCUUUUAUUUCUCGUUUACAUUUUGUUCGUUUGCAUUUGCAGAAUUUUAAUAAGAUUUGUCUUAAAUUAUCUAUCUAUUUAUCUAUCUAUCUAUCUAUCUAUCUAUCUAUCAAUCUAUCUAUUUAUAUCUGCUCAUAUACAUUACGUUAUUUAUUUUAUAUUAAUUUCAUCUUGCAAGCUGCUGGUUCGUUGGAUUUUUCUGAAAUUGCCUGCGUACUCGGAAGUUGCCUGUAACACUAUGCUUCUCAUAUAUCUAACUUGUAUGUAUGUAUAUAUAUAUAUAUAUAUAUAUAUAUAUAUAUAUAUUAUAUUAUUAUAUAUAUAUAUACAUAUACAUACAAACACACAUCUCUCUAUAUAUCUUUACAUUAAGUAUAUAAUGUCUGUUGAUUGAUGUUGAUAUGUUUCAUAUACGAGUGGUAUACAUAUGUGUAUGUAUACAAAUAUUAAUAUAGUGAUCGAUUGAUAAUGAUGAGAAAAGAUAAGAAGAAAAAAAAAAGAAAUAAAAUGAAAGAAAAGAAGGAAAAAGUAAAAAAAAAAAAAAAAAAAGGAAAUAGAUAGACGCAAUAAAAAAAAUAAGCUUUCUACUGCACUUUCGAAAAUAUUUGAGAUCGCGUAAACGUUCGUUGCGUAUAUAACUCGUCGUUUUGAAAUAACUUUCGUUUUACGAUACGAUUAAAUUUUGCAAUUACGUCUGGCGUGAUCGGUUAUUAAAACAUCCAUCUAAUUACAUAUUUUAAAUAUUCCAUCGAUUUUGAUCUCUCGUCUAUCGUAAAAUUAUUUAUUUAACAUUUGAACAUUUCCGAUUCAUCGUAACAAAAGACACGUUCGUUCGAUCUAAUUUAAAUAAUCACGCAAUAAAAAAAGAAGAGGGAGACUAGAAUCUUUCUAUCUCUUUCUCUCUCUCUCUCUCUCUCUCUCUCUCUCUCUUUCCCUCUCGAUAAAAAUUAAUUUUUUUUCUCUUCCUCGACAUAAAAAAUUCUGGAUCACUGAGAAACAAAAAAAGAGAACACAAACGUGUGAUGGAAAUAAUUCAACGUCGUCGCAUUAUCGUUAUCGACAAAUAAUAUCGUAGAAAAAAAAAAAAGAAAAAGAAAAGCAAAAAAAAAAAAAAUAAACUAAUUAUCCCAAGUUCCAAUCCUUGUAUCAGGGUCUAUCCUUUCUACCCUUUCGUAAUUACACGGUUACAUUAACUUGCGCCUUUGCGGAAAAAUACAACGUAUUCGUCUAGGGUUAUCGCCGUCGGCAACGUUCGGCGCAAUGUGUCGACGGACGGGCAAAAUUACUGGGUGCAAGGUAAAUGAAAUUGGCUUAAGCUUAACCCGCCUCUCCUAUCUUCAACUCCUCCUUUCUCUUUCUCUCUCUCUCUCUCUCUCUGUCUGUCUCUCUCUCUCUCUCUCUCUUUCUCCGUCUCUAUCUCUAUCUACAUCCCUCUUUAUCCAAUUCUCUUGCUCUUUCUUGUCUCUAUUCUCUUCUAUCCAUCCUUUUACCGUCCACGUUAUAUUAACCCAACAUCCGUCUCUUUCUUCUUUACGUAUACCUUCUCUCUUCUUACAAAAGAACAAUAUAAUAUAUAUAUAUAUAUAUAUAUAUAUAUAUAUAUAUAUAUGUGUGUGUAUAUACUUGUAGUUAUACAAAGUGUAACGCUGGUUGAAGAGAACAUUAGAAUUGUAAUAAAACGACAAAGGAUUAGCGAAAUGUGAUUUUCUACAAAAUCAAAGAAUCGAUUUUUUUCGAAUAUACAAGAGAAAAAAAGAGAUAAAGAUAGAGAAAGAGAAAGAGAGAGAGGGGGGAAGAGAGAGAGAGAGGGAGAACACGUGGAUGAUGAAAAAAAAAAAAAGAAGAAAAAGAAAAUCAAUUAAUUUCAAGUUCGGUGAAGUUUUAGGAAUAAAUGGGAAGAAUCGUACGUAUAAGAGAUCCGAACCAAUCGUAAAUCUUCGAAUCACGUGGAGUCGAGUAUAAGAGGGACGAUAUUUCGCUUUUGUCGUUUCGUAUAAAAGGAACGUUCAUUUUCGGUCGACCGAAGCGAAAUAUUGCGUGUCCCGAUGUCGUAAGUUCGUUUUCUUUUGCAGAGAAAAUACUCUGAAGAUUCGCCGCCUUGCAUGAUAGUCGAAUGUAAGUUUCUCUCUCUCUCUCUCUCUCUCUCUCUCUCUCUCUCUCUCUCUCUCUCUUACUCUCUCUCGGGCAUGCGCGCGCUUGUGAGAGGUCAUACAAUAAGAAGAGGAUUUGUGAAAAGAACGGUGGUAAAUUUAAUUUUCGACGUAACAGGAGGAUUCGCGACCAUAUUUAUCGGUCGGUGAAAAUGAAGAAGAAAAAGAAGAAGAAGAUACGAGAAGAGAAGAAAAGAGAAAAGUAAAGAAUAGAAAAGAAAAGAGAGGAUAGAGUAUAGGAAGACAGGGAAAACGGGAAAAAGGGAAAGGGGUAAGAAAGUACGUAUCUACAAUUGGAAAGAUUCGAGUCUAACGUCGAAGCAAAAGUCGUGAGCGCAGUUCCAACGAUAAACUUUUAAUUAAGGACAUCGGUAAAUCGAGAAGACGAAGAAAUUAAGGGAGAGUAUCUUGCGAGUUCGAGAAAGGAAAGAGAGAAAGGAAGGAAGAAGAGAGAGACAAAAAAAGAGAGAAGAAAGGGAAAGGGAAGAGUAAAAAAAAAAAAAAAGGAAAUAAGAAAGAAAAAAAAGAAGGAAGAAGAAAAAAAAAUAGAAAAAGGAAUGAAGCAAAAAGGCGGAACGUGCAACUAGAGAGGAGUGAAAAGAAGACCGGGGUAUAAUUAAAAAGGAGCCCGAUCAAAUAUUUGCCUUUCGUCGCCCACGGUAAAAUUUCAUAUUACGUUGGUCACACGACUCAUUCUCUCUCUUUCUCCCUCUCUCUCUCUCUCUCUUUCUCUCUCUCUAUCGAAGGAAGAAGAAGAACUUUUCAAAAGGCUCGUAGAGAGCUGCUUCGAAAAAGAUGCUACGCGGCAAAAGGAUAGAGAGCCAAUCUCGACUCAAACGAAGUUAAAAGAGAAAAAGAGAGAAAAGAGAGAGAGAGAGAGAUCGGACGCGUCAAGAAAGGAAGCACGAUCUCUUUGAUCCGCGAGAAAACGCGGGUGGGCGUAUUGCAAUCGUCGCGCAACGCGAAUACAUCGAGAGUUCGUCCUUUUAUCCCGCCUUUCUAAUAUCCAAUCUAAAAGCAAUCGGUUCUUUAGCUCUGAGGCCUCCUAUUUUUUAUUCCUUGUUUCUUCUUCCUCUUCUUCUUUUUCUUUUGUUUUUCUUUUCUUUUCUUUUUUCUUUUUUCUUUUCUUUGUUUUUUUAAUCGCGUAAUAAAUAAACGAAAAGGAUCGAUCAUCAUCGUAACUUUCCUUUCGAAUAAUGUGUUGAGCUUCGGCUAAUCAUCGAGAUCACAUUUUUUCAUUUCUUUUUCUUUUUCUUUUUUUCUCUUUUUUUUUUUUUUUUAACUAACGAUAUAUUGUACUUUUUGUUUUGUCUUUUCCUUUUUGUUUUUUUUUUUUUUUUUUCUUUUUUCAUCGAACGAUACAAACAGCAUGCAUAUUUAAUGACGUUUAACCAAUAUAUAACACACGUUUGUGCGUGUUAGAAGAAAGAAAAGAAAUCGUUAAAAUGUUAAAAGAGGAUAUUACAUGAAUGCGCGAACAUCGUCAUCGUCGUCGUUGUCGGCGUAGUCGCCGACGUUCAAUAAUUUUAAAAAGUUCACGAAGAAUAGGCAAACGAGAAUGGUCGAGUAAAAGAAGAAGAGCGACAAAGUUCUAGCGCGUCGAGUAUAACUCCCUCUCACGUAUCUUUUUCAACGAACGAGCGUGAAAUUCCAGCAUCGUCGAGCAAAAGUUCCUUCGUCUUAUUCUUCUUCUUUUUUUUUCCCCUUCCCCUUUGCUCUCUUCUUUCUCUUCUUUUUCUUCCCCUUCUUCUUCUUCCUCUUCCUUUGCUUUUACUCAGUCAAACGACCAUCGUAUCUCUUUGUAGCUUCCAACCUCGUCGACCUUCCUUCUUCGAGUUAUGUGCAUGGUGAACUAAAACGAAAGACAGAGAGAGAGAGAGAGAGAAAGAGAGAGAGAGAGGGAGAGAGAGAGAGAGAGAGCAGUUUUGUUCUCUCGAGUAAGAAUGAUUUUUCUCGUCCUAUUGUCCUCUAUCGUUCCAGAAAAUCAAGAACGUUCCAAUGGCCACAACCAAAUCUGGUGAAGUCAUAAAAUCUAUCAGAAAGUACAUCCAUAAAAUUCUCUAAGCUUUCGAAAAACAGAGAGAAAUGUGAAUAAAAUGAGUCCUAUAAUAAGAAAAAGUGUAUAACGUAAGAUGGUAAGAAAACGAACAGAAAACGAGGUGGAUACUGAAUAUAUGGAUUCCAUCGAGCCCAUGUUUUCAAUGUAACACACUCGAGUUGCACAAGCACGACCAUAAAGAGAAUCAUCCUACUGAUCGAAAUCGAGAGAAAAGGAAGGAGCUUAACGAAGAGUGAAAAACCUGUUGGAAAAAAUGAGAGAGACAGAGAGAGAGAGAGAGAGAGAGAGAGAGAGAGAGAGAGAGAGAGAGAGAGAGAGAGAGAGAGAGAGAGAGAGAGAGAGGGAGAAAUGAAAACCGAGGAAAGACUUUUUCGUGGAAAUUUAAAGGCUCAUGUAAAUUCAAAGGUACGACGAAGUAUAAACCGCUUUGCUGAAUAUUCGCACGUGAGGACCCACCUCCUCCUUCUCUUCUAUUUCCUCCUACUCCCACUCUUCUUCCUUUACGAUGCCGCCCUUAAAUUUAUUCGCCUGUAGAAUUUUAAACUUUGCCAGUUAACCGAGCAUAGUAAAUAUCGAUGAGAAAUUCCUACGUAUCGCGUAAGAUUUCAGAGAAAUAUUCUACGAGUGUGAGAGGGUGGGAGAAUAGCCGGAAUGCGGACCAAUAGAAGAGUAGAUAUUUUUUGACGAGAAAAUAAUUUUACAAAUCGAAGGCGACUCUCGAGGAAAAUGAUUUGUCUUCUUUUUUUCUAUUCUCUUUUUCUAUUCUCUCUCUUUUUUCUUUUUUUCUUUUCUUUUUUUUGCUUUUUUUUUUUUUUUUUGUAAAGUUUUGCAAUAUCAUCAAUUAAACUUGUAUACCCUGAAACAAUUUCACGAACGAAAAUUCCCAUUUGGGAACGAGAAACGACUUUUUAUCAAUUCACGGUAUACCUACCUUGUAAUUCGCGACAGUAGAAGAACUAAAAGGGAUAGGACAGAAAGGGUAAAAACCAAGCGUACAUUGGAGAGAGAAAAAAAGGAGAGCUUAUUCGGCGCCACAUUGCGAGUCAACAACGAGAAAGACCAAUUGCCUUUUGUCGCUUGAUCGCGAAUUCCCUGAAGCUUUUAUUUUUUAUCGUAUCAUCAGUGAACCGUAUCAGAGAACUUUCUACGCCGGUCGGUUCACUCGACAAACUUGUUUCACGACCAUUUCUUUUAUUUACCCCGUUCACGUUUAUUUAUUUCACGUUUGAUAAGCGUCGUUAACUUAUGCAUUAUUAUCCCUAUCGGAAUAUAUCCUAAAACUUAUUCGUAAACCCUCCUAUAUAUAUAUAUUUCCUAUACCUACUUGAUUUCAAGGAUACGAACGUCGAAAUUAUUAUUAAAAAGCACUAUUUAAGAUCAAUGUGAUAAAAAGUGUAACGUAACGUGAGAGAUAGAGACGUCAACGAGAUGUAUAUCUUAAGGACAUUAACGAAAGGAAAUACGAGGCGAAUUGUGGAUUAAAAGAAUUAAAAAAAAGAAAAGGAGAAGAAAGGGGUGAAGUAAAAAAUGAAUUCGUUCCACCGACGAAGGAGAGUGGGUGAGAGAGAGAGAGAGAGAGAGAGAGAGAGAGAGGGAGAUGGAUUUAUCAAAGGCUAAAAAAGAAUAAUACCGUGAAUUAUGACUUAUGGAAAUACAUUGUGUAAAAUUUAAUGAAUUAUUAAAACGCGUUAGGAAUUUUCAUAAUGUCGUUUUAAUAUACGACAGACAAGUUGUCAGAUAGGGAUGAUUCUUCUUUAUUGUUUUUUUAUUUGUCUCCUUUUUUUUCUUUUUUUGGUUCUUCUUUUUUUUUUUUUUUUUUUUUGUUAAACACGAUAAAAAAUGAGGGGAGAAAAAUCCAAGGUAGGAUAUUAAUUACAAAGCGCUACGUCUGUUCGGCCGAAAAAAAAAGAAAAGGGAAAAAGAAAAUUACUGUAAGUUCCUCCAAGCGAUUUUUAAUCCGCAUCGAACUUCAUCUUAGCUUGAUGUUCUUCAGAGAGAAUAUCAUUAUUACCGAGGCCAAGCAUUGUUUGUAGCUUAUUCUACGAUCGUCGAGCUUAAUGAAGCUUUCUGAAAUGAUUCCUCUUUGCUCGGUCUUAAAACUAAAGUAAUUAACGGGAAGUCCCGAACUCUGUUAUUUCUUAUUACAAAGCAACGUAAUCAAAGCUAAGUUAAUCACCGUUCUCGGAUGAAAGCUUAAAUGUCUCGUAAUCUCGCGUUGAAAAUGAAAAGUCAUUUAUUUUCUUUUGUGACUUAAAAAUUUUCUCUCUCUCUCUCUCUCUCUCUCUCUCUCUCUCUUUCUCCCCCCUCUCUUUCUCUCUUUUCUGCUUUAACGCACCGAAAAACGAAUUAAUAUUAAAUAUUUUGAGGACGAUCGAUUCUUACGCCAUAUAUAUAUAUACAUAUAUAUGUACAUGCAUAUAGUACAGAGACAACAAACGUAGCCGCAUGCAGUGACAGAGAAGGAGCAUUAACGAGAUCGCACAAUGCAUCGCUUUGAAGUUAGUCUUUACCACCCCCAUCGUGGCUACUAAGCGGCAGUAUGUGAGAAUGUAUGCGAAUGCCGGCGUCAUGCUCGGCUCACGAUUCACAAUGCUUUCUCUGCCCUCUGACUGAAUCGGAACAAAGAGAAAGCGGAAUCUGGAUUUCGAUUAACGUACCCGUAGUGAGAAAGUAUUUACAUGGGGUGUCUCUCCUGUGUAAGUAAAAGCGUACGCUGCAUUGAAUCAAGGAAACGAUCUACCUCUCUCUCUCUCUCUCUCUCUCUCUCUCUCUUUCUUUCUAUCUGCCUAUCUGUCUAUCUCUCUUUCCUGCAUAGACCAACCAUCUCUCUUUUUCUCUCUCUUUCUGUCUCUUACUCUCUAUCUAUCUGUGCUUUGAAGAAUCUCUCUCUCUCUCUCUCUCUCUAUCACUAGACCAUCACUUGUAUUAGUCUAUCCAAGGACCACCACUCCAAUGAGCGUUAUCGGGAACGACCAAGGUGAAUCCUUCGAAUAUCGAAGAAAGUGAAAGGACAUUAGGAUGCUUUCAGGCUCAUUGAAGCAGGUCCUUUCGAAUUGGCGACCGAUGCCACGUCGAUAAUAAAAUUAAAGGACUCGAGAUCCCGACACGCCAUUGGUUAUUGGUUCCUCUUCUGCUAACUUUUGCCUUCUGUCGCUCUGCAGUCGUAAGAAGGAAAGAAAAUAAAAAAAAGAGAAAAAAAAAAGAAAGAAAAGGGAAAGAAGAAUAUGAAUCUCUUAUCUCGCGAAGUAUGCUCGUACUAAGUGUCACUCUUAGCUCCAUCGUUUGAUCGUUAUUUGUCAUUAAGUCGAGGUCAUGUAAAAAAAAUAAAAAAAUAAAAAAAAGAAGAGUAAAACGAACGCAUCCAAUGGAGAUUGUAAGUGCGAGCCAAGUAACAUUACAUUAAUAUCAUUUUUCGCAUGAGAUAAUUAUUCUCAUGAGAGUGUCAUUCAUUAUAUAUACGUAAAUGUCUCAACGUUAUUUGAAAUACGAACGCGCCUUCUCAACUUAAAAUCUAAUUUAAUUAUUGCUUCACAACAUCAAACUCCACGAAUGCGAUCGUUUCUACGAGGAGAAGAGAAAAAUCAGAUAAAAAAAAUUCGAAAUUAUAUAUACAAAGGAAGAUGGCGUACAUCCGCCGUUGGAAUCUGACAUCGCUAUAUCGCUCUAUCGUUCAUUUCACAACCUAAUCUAUCUUGUAGUAUUAUAUCUAUCUCUAUCGCUCUUCAGUUUUCACGGCAAUCAUCUCAAAUAUUUCGUCUAACGAUAUUUCGAAAGCAUCGCACCAAUACAGACGAACGCAUUAAUCUCAAGAGAUCGGCGCAUUGCACGAUUGUGCGGACACUCUUCUGCUCUCUCUCUCUCUCUCUUACUAUUGCUUUCUUCUAUCUAUUUAUCUAUCUCUAUAUCUUUUCGCUCUCUCGAUCGAUGUGUCGUAAAUCACUAUCCGCCUCUUUUUUUUUUUCUUUAAAGCCUAAUUAUCGAAAGAUCGAUAUCCUUCUUCUUCUUCUACUUCUUCACUUAUCGUUGAUUCGACGAAGUAAAAAGUUGGUUGGCGCAUCGUACACACGUGCUACGUAGAACAAUUAUUUCUCUCUCUCUAUCUCUCUCUUUCUCUCUCUCUCUCUCUCUCUCGCUCUCAUUCUGUUUCUGCCUCUCUUUCUGUUUCUAUCUCUCUUUUUUGCUCUCUCAUUCUAACGUCCUAUCUAUCUGUCACUCUAUCUAUCUAUCUAUCUAUCCAUCUAUCCAUCUAUCUGUCUAUCUAUCUAUCUAUCUAUCUAUCUAUUUCGACUGCUACGCUGAUUGAAAGUUACCGUCGUAACAGGAUACGUAGUUACUCUGUCGUGCAUGUGGAAGCACCACAAAUUCUUCUGAUACAAAAUAUACACAGAUGCAUAACGAAGCGUCCAAUCGCUUUCUCUACCACCGCUGAUAUUCCAAUUCUAUCGUCCACCAUUUCCUAUAACUGCCAACACAAGUCACAUACAAUUCCUUCUUAUUCCCUCUUUAUUUAUCUUUCUUUUCCUUCCUUCGUCCUCAUCCAUCUCUCUCUCUCUCUCUCUCUCUCUAUCUCUCUCUCUCUCUCUCUCUCUCUCUCUCUCUUCUGGCUCUUCUUUCUCUCUUUUCCUAACACUCUCCAAACCGAUUAUUCUAAACUAGUCUAACUCUCAUGGCUUCUUAUCUCCUUUUAAAGUGGCACCGCUGAACGUGCUGAUUGUAGACGUUUAUUAGAAACUACUUUAAUCCAACUGAUAAAAGGAAAAACUUUUUUUUGGAUUAAUUCGAUCGAACCCAAUAUUAAUUAAAAUACUCGAUUUAAAAUUACUUCUUCUUCUCGUGGAAACUCUAAUUCGCGAGAAUUAACGAGAAAUAAACUCUUUCAUUUAACUUUCGCGAGACAAAUCACAGGACUGGCGGGAGAAACGACGUCGAUCUAAUCGCGGGUUAGAGGCAUUCGAAUCAAUUUGCCGAUUUUGAUGGAAACGGCAGAACCACGUAACGCGGAUCGAUGCCGUCGCGUCAUACGAACGAGACUAUGCCAACGAACGUUUCAAUUAUACACGCGGCCGCGUGACUCCAUUCGCAGAGUUUCACGCAUUAUGCCCUCGAAAUUGUCAUGCCAUGCCAUAAUGUUCUCAUUUUUUGACGGUAGAACGACGUUCAAUGGAAUUAAUGUAUUAGAAUGUUACGUCUGACUUAUUAUUACACGACGAAAUUAUUACAGAAUUGGACGAAGAAUAUCGAGUAAUAAUAAUUUUAUAUACGCCUAUAAAGUUUUUAUCAUUAUCAUGUAUUAUUAUCAAAUAAAAUAGAUAUCUACUUAUCUAUCUAUCUAUCUAUCUAUCUAUUUAUCUUCAUAUUUGCGUGAGAACGUGUGUAAAAAAAGAAUCAAAUCCGAAGUAACAUGUAAAACGGGAAUGGUUUCAUGUAACGUUUCAACAUUCGACGCGAAAUAUUCCCAAAUGGGAGAAACGAACGAGCAUUCUCCUCUCCUUCGUGUGCAAUAAACUGCGCCUGAAAUGUAACCUGUGAUAACGUUCUUGUGUUCCCUAAAUCGUAAAUUCGAAAGGUUCUUUUUUUUUUUUUUUCUUUUUUUUCCUCCUUUUUCUUUAUCUUGUUUUUUUCUCUUUCUUCUUCUUCUUCUUCUUCUUCCCUUAAGAUAAAAGGGACGAGCUCGUUCUCAGUCCUUUUGCACAUAUAAUAAUCGCAAGAAAUACAGUAAUAAGUAUAUAAUACUUUCUCUCGUAUUUUCGUGAAGAAACUUCGAAAAGCAGAUAAUAAGUAUCUAGAAACGAAAGCCGAGUUUAUCUUCGUCCUCCAUCGUUUGCCUAUCUAAUGCAUUUUCACAUCUUAGUCCGAACUUUAUAUUCGUUAUUCCGUACAUUUUAAAGUUCUUUACGAGAGGAGAUUGGAGCUACACGAAAAGUUUCAUCUUAGUGUUUCUUUCUUUUUCUUUUUUUCUUUUUUUUUUUAUUUUAUU